AUAAGUAAAAUGAAAAUCAAGAAGCUAUUCUAUAUGGAUCCUUCAACUAGGCCCAAGUUUUCCAAGCCUCUAAUGGUCUCAUAAGCCUUAAUUCCAUAGACAAAUCAGAGUCUAUGUGAAUCAAAGUUCUCUAAGGGUCUCAAGGACCCGUCGCAAUGCUUAUACCUAGACUUAGCAACCAAGAAUUGAACAAGUGUAGUGUGGAAAGGCCAGCCUCGAUAUGCCAGAGUUCAAAGGACUCUCAAGAGGAUCCUAAUGAUGUACACGUACUAGAGGGUGCAACUUUUAUUGACUAAGAGUAAAGUAAAAGUGAAGGACACAAGUUGAAAAGGUUUAUUAAAAGACUGUGGUAGAAAGUCUGUUUUGAAAGUAAUUAUUAAAGCAACAGAGAUUGUUUGAAGAAGAGAUUGGGGUGGUGAACAAAGUUCAAGCACCUCAGCAUAGGAUCAUACACAGCUAGUUUACAGAACCAAAUGAAUUCAGUGAUCACACAUGGGUCAGGGGUUUGUGACACAUAGAACAUUUGACUACCCACAUGUAACCCAGCAAAGGUCUUAGGACUAGGUUAGACAUGCUCAGAAACAGCUGACACUAGCAUGGUCACAAACCAGUCUUGAAGAACACAAGCACAUAGAUGGGUGAUAGGGGUUUGGGGACUCAUAAGAUGGUAAGUACAUAAUAAGUAAAAGAGAACUGGUGGGGCAUGCUUAGGAACAC
rnacentral:lncRNA from 1 species